rnacentral:rRNA from 1 species
UACGAAGGGGGCUAGCGUUGUUCGGAAUCACUGGGCGUAAAGCGCACGUAGGCGGAUCUUUAAGUCAGGGGUGAAAUCCCGAGGCUCAACCUCGGAACUGCCUUUGAUACUGGGGAUCGAGUCCGGGAGAGGUGAGUGGAACUGCGAGUGUAGAGGUGAAAUUCGUAGAUAUUCGCAAGAACACCAGUGGCGAAGGCGGCUCACUGGCCCGGAACUGACGCUGAGGUGCGAAAGCGUGGGGAGCAAACAGG